rnacentral:rRNA from 1 species
CACGUAGGGUGCGAGCGUUGUCCGGAAUUAUUGGGCGUAAAGAGCUCGUAGGCGGUGUGUCGCGUCGGCCGUGAAAACCUGCGGCUUAACUGUGGGCUUGCGGUCGAUACGGGCAUCACUGGAGUUCGGCAGGGGAGACUGGAAUUCCUGGUGUAGCGGUGAAAUGCGCAGAUAUCAGGAGGAACACCGGUGGCGAAGGCGGGUCU